rnacentral:tRNA from 1 species
GGGCAAUUACCCAAGAGGCUGAAGGGGACAGUUUCGAAAACUGUUAGAAGUCAAAUAGACUUGCAAGGGUUCAAAUCCCUUAUUGCCCGCCA